rnacentral:rRNA from 1 species
AUUGAACGCUGGCGGCAGGCUUAACACAUGCAAGUCGAGCGAGCGGCGGACGGGUGAGUAAUGUCUGGGAAACUGCCUGAUGGAGGGGGAUAACUACUGGAAACGGUAGCUAAUCCCGCAUACCAUCAGAUGUGCCCAGAUGGGAUUAGCUAGUAGGUGGGGGAAUGGCUUACCUAGGCGACGCUCCCUAGCUGGUCUGAAAGGAUGACCAGCCACACUGGAACUGAGACACGGUCCAGACUCCUACGGGAGGGAGCAGUGGGGAAGAUUGCACAAUGGGCGCAAGCCUGAUGCAGCCGUGCCGCGUGUGUGAAGAAGGCCUUCGAGUUGUAAAGCACUUUCAGCGAGGAGGCGUUACUCACAGAAGAAGCACCGGCUAACUCCGUGCCAGCAGCCGCGGUAAUUC